rnacentral:rRNA from 2 species
GGUUGACCUCGGAUCAGGUAGGACUACCCGCUGAACUUAAGCA